rnacentral:tRNA from 1 species
GGCUUAGUGGUCUAGUGGUAUGAUUCCUGCUUCGGGAGAACUCCCUUCCAUUCUAUGUGGGAAUGCAGGAGGCCCCGGGUUCGAAUCCCGGCUGAGCCC